CCUACGGGGGGCAGCAGUGAGGAAUAUUGGUCAAUGGGCUUACGCCUGAACCAGCCAAGUCGCGUGAGGGAAGACUGCCCUAUGGGUUGUAAACCUCUUUUGUCAGGGAGCAACGCCGGCUACGUGUAGCCGGACUGAGAGUACCUGAAGAAAAAGCAUCGGCUAACUCCGUGCCAGCAGCCGCGGUAAUACGUAGGAUGCGAGCGUUAUCCGGAUUUAUUGGGUUUAAGGGGUGCGUAGGCGGAAUGCCAAGUCAGCGGUAAAAUCGCGGGGCUCAACCUCGCUCCGCCGUUGAAACUGGCGGUCUUGAGUGGGCGAGAAGUAUGCGGAAUGCGUGGUGUAGCGGUGAAAUGCAUAGAGAUCACGCAGAACUCCGAUUGCGAAGGCAGCAUACCGGCGCCCAACUGACGCUGAAGUACGAAAGCGUGGGUAUCGAACAGGAUUAGAUACCCCAGUAGUC
rnacentral:rRNA from 1 species